rnacentral:rRNA from 1 species
ACGCGAAGAACCUUACCAAGUCUUGACAUCCCGAUGACAGAUUAUGUAAUGUACCUUCUCUUCGGAGCAUCGGUGACAGGUGGUGCAUGGUUGUCGUCAGCUCGUGUCGUGAGAUGUUGGGUUAAGUCCCGCAACGAGCGCAACCCCUGUCCUUAGUAGCCAGCGGUUCGGCCGGGCACUCUAGGGAGACUGCCAGGGAUAACCUGGAGGAAGGCGGGGAUGACGUCAAAUCAUCAUGCCCCUUAUGACUUGGGCUACACACGUGCUACAAUGGCGUAAACAAAGGGAAGCAAAGCCGUGAGGCCGAGCAAAUCUCAAAAAUAACGUCUCAGUUCGGACUGUAGUCUGCAACCCGACUACACGAAGCUGGAAUCGCUAGUAAUCGCAGAUCAGAAUGCUGCGGUGAAUACGUUCCCGGGUCUUGUACACACC